rnacentral:lncRNA from 1 species
GCAUGAGCCAUUGCGCCCGGCCCCCUUUGUUUCUUUUUGACAUCUCUACUUAAGACCCGAGGAGCCUUCUACAUUUGUGGCCAGUUAUUUCACCAAUGCCUCUGCAUUAACUGGACUGGAAUGUGUACCAUAGGCUGUGUAUCUCCAGACAUCUUCAGAGCUCCUGGCAAUCUCUCUCUUCAGUACCAAUUAAUGGAUCUAUGGACAUUCUAUUUUUUUUUUUUUUUUUGAGAUGGAGUCUCGCUCUGUUGCCCAGGCUAGAGUGCAAUGGCACGAUCUUGGCUCAUUGCAACCUCGGCCUCCCAGGUUCAAGCGAUCCUCCUGCCUCAGUCACCCUAGUAGCUGGGAUUACAGGCAUGCACCCGGCUAAUUUUUGUAUUUAUAGUAGAGA